GUUUCAUCUCACAUAUUCCUCAUAACAGCCCCGGAAGUAGAAACUGAAAUCAUACUUAUUUUAUAACAAAAGACACAACAUCUGACUGGUUCUGAAGUUUUAUGAAUCCUCUUUGGACAUAUGUAUUCUGGAAAUGGAUUCUGCCUUGAGCAAUAUGAUUCAUCAAGAGGUGAAAUUAGAGAAACAACUAGAACCAAAAGGAAAACAGGAAAAGCAAGAUGUGGAACUCAAAAAGGAAGUGCUAAACUGUUCUAUGUUGUCACUGG